rnacentral:tRNA from 1 species
ACUUGGAUAUCUUAAUUAUAAAGUAUAACUCUGAAGAAGUUAUUAUAGGUAUUAACCUUCCAAGUA